GCGCCGCAGAGAGGCACAGACCCCAGAGGCCGGCGGCAAAUUACCGUCCUGCUCCCAGCUGUAUGACCCAGAUCUCCGGUAUGCGGCCCGCCUUUGCAUCAGCUCAGUUUUUUUUUUCCACACGUCCUCAUUAGAAUGUAUGCUCCCAGAAAGGAAAGAAGAGAAACCAGUUGAAUGUGGUUUCUAACUCACCUGGUUCCUAGUGCCUGGAACCAAUACUCCACCUAUAGUCUUUGCUCAAGAAAUAUUUGUGGACAAGUGCCAAGUGACUGUUAACAUGAGGGAAGUGAUUCAAGACAAAGACCCAUUCUGCCAGUGAGCUAUGCUGGGAAUACCAACUAUGCUUGUUACAGAAUGUGCACGGCAACUACUGACCGGCCUUCCCGAUGCCAGCAAGAGGGUUACAGAAGCAAUCUCCCGAGCUUUCCACGACAUUCAAGUGACCAGGCACUUUGACCCCCAUCAUUAGGGGCUGCCCCAAAGAAGCUGCGUUCCUACCUCACUUGGUGCCCCUAAGCGGCAGUUGAGACACCAGAGGGUGUAUGACCCUUGUUGAAAUGGACUUGUCAUAGGUGUGUGCUUUCAAUUGGCGUUUCCCUCCUGUCUUGUUUGAGAAAUCCCAGUCAUUUAACGCUCCUACCUGCUUCUUUUUUUACAACUUCACAUUCACAGCAGAAUUUCAUUUUGUCUUUCAAUUGUGUGGCUUGCCUUAAUCCUCUGAUAGAGCUUCAAAUUGUUUAUUCCUUAAUUUUUUUUUUAAGUGACCUGGAGCUUAGCCAGCUCCAGCCAGUCUCUGAGUUUGGCUUUGUGUCCAUAAGCCGCAGUUGGGAGAAACGCAAGAAAUGCCCAAACAGAAUAAAACAAAUGAUCUAUUUAGUCUCAUUUCCUCUCUUGGAAGAGGUCCAGCUUUGAGUGCUUUGGAAGAAGAUGAAAAUCCCCCCACCCCACCCCCACUGCUCCCUCAUACACCCAAACAGUAUGACCUUGUAUUUAAGUAAAAGCUAUCCUUAGCUCCCAAUGGGUGAUGGUGUUUUGUCUGGAAGAGCUACUGAUGUUUCUAUAAUAAGAUAAUAAUAGUUGCUCCUCUCCUAUCUAACCCCUAUUUAAAAUACAUUUCACCACAAGGCAACUUGUUACACAACUUUAUAGAUGCAAAUACUGUUUCGUAAGGUUGUUUCAACCAGGGGAAAGGAGACUGGUUAUAACAGUUCACUUAGACAAUUAGUUUCUGGGACUGUUGCAUUGGUAUGAUUUUUUUUUUUUAAGCUUAUAAUAGGUAUUUUUUGUUUUUUAUUUCCCUUUCAAGUUGGCUUUCAAAUAAAUCCAGUUUCCUCUUUCU